AGCACAGGAGGCGGGGAAGUGCGGGGAGAAGCUGAGCAGGUCAGGGGAGGGCGAGGACAUCUCCCUGCCCGCGGCUGACGGACGAGCGUCUAUAGGUAGAGUAUACCAAUGAUGUUCCUGAUGCUGGUUUUCAUGGAAAGUCUUGUAGAGUUAUCCUUUCAGAAUGCUCAGGUGGAACUCAUGUAGCAGAGGCUGCAAGUGGCUUCACAGUGCUGUGCUUAACCCCUGCGCCAUCAGAGAGGCCCCAAUCCUUGCUUUUAUGUCAGCUUCAGGGUCUGGCUGCGGUGGACACUGUCAGUGAAAGGCUGGGAGCCCCAGAACCUGCAACAGACCCGCCUGUGCCUCCUGCCCCAGCCCGCCUGCCCCAGCCCACUGUGCCCUGCUGAUUAGCUGGAGUUAUGUUAGGACAAAACCUGGAGCCAGGAGCCUGACCUGUGCCCCCAAGAUGACCAGAUUUCACUGAACAGUGUGAAGGCAAGACAAGUCCACAUUUUGGAUGCAGCUAGACUGUUUAUUCUCACUGCUGUGUCACAGUGCACUAGAUGCUGUUGUUUACAUUUUCUUCUACUCAUGUAAGGGGUAAGGAGAGGAUGUGUCAUUAAUAUUUUCCUUCUGUGGUGGAAUGACAUCAUUGCUAGAAUUGUCCACUUUCAACGUUUAACACUAAUAAUAAGUAAUUUCCAUGUCAUUAAAAACAAUUUAGUGUUAUUGUAUCCAGUUUUUACAUUUAAUUUUGUAUACA